rnacentral:rRNA from 1 species
AACGAACGCUGGCGGCAUGCCUAACACAUGCAAGUCGAACGAGACCUUCGGGUCUAGUGGCGCACGGGUGCGUAACGCGUGGGAAUCUGCCCUUGGGUUCGGAAUAACAGCGAGAAAUUGCUGCUAAAUACCGGAUGAUGACGUAAGUCCAAAGAUUUAUCGCCCAAGGAUGAGCCCGCGUAGGAUUAGCUAGUUGGUGAGGUAAAGGCUCACCAAGGCGACGAUCCUUAGCUGGUCUGAGAGGAUGAUCAGCCACACUGGGACUGAGACACGGUCCAGACUCCUACGGGAGGCAGCAGUGGGGAAUAUUGGACAAUGGCGAAAGCCUGAUCCAGACAAUGCCGCGUGAGUGAUGAA